AGCCUCAGAGGUGAAAUACGCCAAAUUGCAAAUUUGGAGAAGCUCCCCCAAAGGGAGCCGGGGCUU
rnacentral:tRNA from 1 species